rnacentral:rRNA from 1 species
GACGAACGCUGGCGGCGUGCUUAAUACAUGCAAGUCGAGCGAGGUUACUGUUUUGGAUCCCUUCGGGGUGAAGAAGCUUUAACCUAGCGGCGGACGGGUGAGUAACGCGUGGGUAACCUACCCCAAAGUCCGGGAUAACAGCGGGAAACCGCUGCUAAUACCGGAUGCCUUUACCUUGGGGCAUCUUGAGGUAAAGAAAGGUAACGCUUUGGGAUGGGCCCGCGUCCCAUUAGCUAGUUGGUGAGGUAACGGCUCACCAAGGCGACGAUGGGUAGCCGGCCUGAGAGGGUGGACGGCCACACUGGGACUGAGACACGGCCCAGACUCCUACGGGAGGCAGCAGUAGGGAAUAUUGCGCAAUGGACGGAAGUCUGACGCAGCGACGCCGCGUGAGCGAUGAAGGUCUUCGGAUCGUAAAGCUCUGUCCUUGGGGAAGAAGGCGAAAGCUUGACGGUACCCAAGAAGAAAGCCCCGGCUAACUACGUGCCAGCAGCCGCGGUAAUACGUAGGGGGCGAGCGUUGUCCGGAAUUACUGGGCGUAAAGGGUGCGUAGGCGGCCCUUUAAGUCGGAUGUGAAAGCCCGCGGCUUAACCGCGGAAUGGCAUUCGAAACUGGAGGGCUUGAGUGUCGGAGAGGGUAGUGGAAUUCCCAGUGUAGCGGUGAAAUGCGUAGAUAUCAGGAGGAACACCGGUGGCGAAGGCGGUCAUCUGGCCCACUAUUGACGCUGAGGCACGAAAGCUAGGGGAGCAAACAGGAUUAGAUACCCUGGUAGUCCUAGCCGUAAACGAUGGGUACUAGGUGUAGGGGUUUCGAUACCUCUGUGCCGCAGUUAACGCAAUAAGUACCCCGCCUGGGGAGUACGGUCGCAAGACUGA